GAUGAACGCUGGCGGCGUGCCUAAUACAUGCAAGUCGAGCGAACAGACGAGGAUCUUGCUCCUGUGACGUUAGCGGCGGAAGGGUGAGUAACACGUGGACAACCCACCUAUAAGACUGGGAUAAAUUCGGGAAACCGGCGCUAAUAUCGGACAAUAUAUUAAACCGCAUGGUUCAAUAGUGAAUGACGGUUUUGCUGUCACUUAUAGAUGGAUCCGCGCCGCAGUAGCUAGUUGGUAAGGUAACGGAUUACCAAGGCAACGAUGCGUAGCUGAGCUGAGAGGGUGGUCGGACCAACUGGAACUGAGACACGGCCCAGGCUCCUACGGGACGCAGCAGUAGGGAAUGUACCGCAGUGGGCGAGAGCUUGCCCGGGCCCCGCCGCGCGAGUGAUGAAGGUCUUCGGAUCGUAAAACUCUGUUACUAGGGAAGAACAAAUGUGUAAGUAACUAUGCACGUCUUGACGGUACCUAAUCAGAAAGCCCCGGCUAACUCCGUG
rnacentral:rRNA from 1 species